rnacentral:rRNA from 1 species
UACGGAGGUGGCAAGCGUUGCUCGGAAUCACUGGGCGUAAAGGGCGCGUAGGCGGGGAGGUAAGUCGGGUGUGAAAUCCCUCGGCCCAACUGAGGAACUGCGCCCGAGACUGCUUCUCUUGAGUCCCGGAGAGGAAGAUGGAAUUCCCGGUGUAGCGGUGAAAUGUGUAGAGAUCGGGAGGAACACCGGUGGCGAAGGCGGUCUUCUGGACGGUGACUGACGCUGAGGUACGAAAGCCAGGGGAGCAAACGGG